UGGGGAAUUUUGCACAAUGGGCGGAAGCCUGAUGCAGCGACGCCGCGUGGAGGAUGAAGGCCUUCGGGUUGUAAACUCCUUUUGUAGGGGACGAUGGUGACGGUACUCUACGAAUAAGCCACGGCUAACUCUGUGCCAGCAGCCGCGGUAAGACAGAGGUGGCGAGCGUUGUUCGGAAUUACUGGGCGUAAAGCGCGUGUAGGCGGCCUUGCAAGCCAGACGUGAAAGCCCUCGGCUUAACCGGGGAAGUGCGUCUGGAACUGCUCGGCUCGAGUACGGGAGAGGGAGGCGGAAUUCCAGGUGUAGUAGUGAAAUACGUAGAUAUCUGGAAGAACACCAGUUGCGAAGGCGGUCUCUUGGUCCGUAACUGACACUUAGGCGCGAAAGCGUGGGGAGCAAACAGGAUUAGAUACCCUGGUAGUCCACGCUGUAAACGAUGAAUACUUGGUGUUGGUCCCAUUGGGAUCAGUGCCGAAGCUAACGCAUUAAGUAUUCCACCUGGGGAGUACGAUCGCAAGGUUG
rnacentral:rRNA from 1 species